rnacentral:rRNA from 1 species
ACAGGGAUUGCCCUAGUAACGGCGAGUGAAGCGGCAACAGCUCAAAUUUGAAACCUGGCGCUCGCGCCCGGAUUGUAAUUUGUAGAGGAUGCUUCUGGGCAGCGGCCGGUCUAAGUUCCUUGGAACAGGACGUCAUAGAGGGUGAGAAUCCCGUAUGCGACCGGCCCGCACCCUCCACGUAGCUCCUUCGACGAGUCGAGUUGUUUGGGAAUGCAGCUCUAAAUGGGAGGUAAAUUUCUUCUAAAGCUAAAUAUUGGCCAGAGACCGAUAGCGCACAAGUAGAGUGAUCGAAAGAUGAAAAGCACUUUGGAAAGAGAGUUAAAAAGCACGUGAAAUUGUUGAAAGGGAAGCGCUUGCAACCAGACUCCGCGGCGGUGUUCCGCCGGUCUUCUGACCGGUCCACUCGCCGCCGCGGGGCCAACAUCGUCUGGGGCCGCCGGAUAAGACCGGAGGAAUGUAGCUCAUUGAGUGUUAUAGCCUCCGGGGAUGCGGCGCGCCCCGGGCGAGGUCCGCGCCUCGGCAAGGAUGUUGGCGUAAUGGUUGCCAGCGGCCCGUCUUGAAACACGGACCAAGGAGUCUAACAUCUAUGCGAGUGUUCGGGUGUCAAACCCCUACGCGUAAUGAAAGUGAACGGAGGUGGGAACCGAACGGUGCACCAUCGACCGAUCCUGAUGUCCUCGGAUGGAUUUGAGUAAGAGCAUAGCUGUUGGGACCCGAAAGAUGGUGAACUAUGCCUGAAUAGGGUGAAGCCAGAGGAAACUCUGGUGGAGGCUCGCAGCGGUUCUGACGUGCAAAUCGAUCGUCAAAUUUGGGUAUAGGGGCGAAAGACUAAUCGAACCA